rnacentral:lncRNA from 10 species
CCUGGGCGGGGUCAGUGAUGAUGGGGAGGCCACUUUCAGGGUAUGAGCCUCAAUCCCAGCAUGUUGACUGUGGGAAGUGACAUCCCUGAGCCCAGAGUUGCCCCCCCUGGAGCUGGGAUGAGGACGUGUGGCGACCUUUCCUAGGCUCUGUUGUUAGCGUGCGUCUUCUAUGUAACAUUCUGGAUUUCUCUUCCAGUACCUACAUUUCGAGGUGACCUUGGCCCUUGCAAUGAUGUAAACACGGUUUGAAAGGCGCAUUGAAGCAGUUUUUCUUACGCAUCAGCCCUCACCCCUUGUGUUGGGUGAAUGUUUGCUUCUUACUAUGCAGGUUUUUGGCAACAUGGACGAAUCUCAAGCACAUCGUCAAAUUCCCAAAACUAGAAAUGACAAAGCACAGACCGGGAGCUGUCGGGUUGCCUAUAGGGGAAUGCUAGGAAAUUUGGGGGGAAAGGAGUUGUUCCACAUCUUGAUGGUGAUGGCUAAAGGACUCCAAGCCUUUGUGAAAACUCAAGGAACUAUGCCAUAAAAGCGAGAAACAGUACCACGGUAGGCUUCAAUCUCGACUCCAAAGAAGGCAGUGCCUGUAAAUCUAGACUUUCCCGACAUAAAACAGCCCCUCAGGGAAGACCCUGAUAGCCUGUAGCUCUCAAGAGCCAGCGACCUUUGUCCCCGUCUCUGGGUAAAAACUAGGGACCACGGGGACAGUGUCUUAGAUGACUCCUGGCUGUGUCAUUCACCAGCAGGUGUACUUGGGCUGCUCACGAUGCUCCUUUCUAGGACUCGAGUUCCUAGCCUAUGAAGGGGGAUCAAAGUCAAACUAGCAAGCUGUGUGCACUUUAAGUGGGUAAAUUGUAUGGUAUGUGAUCUGUCUCUUGAGCUGUUUUAAAAAAUGGUGCAAGCAAAAAUAAAGGGGGAAAUCACAGAAUCUGCCCUGCAGGUUCUUGGGACAAAGCCAACGAUAACGUUUGAUGCUGGGAUAGAGCGUGGCCCAUGGGGAUGCUGCUUAGUGAAUGCCCUCGCCCUUCACUUCUGAACUUGGCCACCUCCAGCAGGGUUCACUCCUCUGUGAACCCUAUGCUCAGGUCAGACCUCAAUCUUACUCCACAGACCUGGUAUUGCCAGAGCCAUUUUGGGGUCACACAGGAGAGUGAACGGCCUUAGAAAUGCGGUUCAAACUACUGGGCAGAAAACACGGGAAGGAAAACGGCACAGAUGAUUCCAUCCCUAAAUCCAUGAGGGGCCAGGCCUCCUGGGUUGCAGGGUCCAUUGUCACCAAGCUGGUAGACACUCUGGGGACAUCAUGCCCCCAGGGAUGCACCUGGCUCUAAGCUCACCUGGAAGGCAACUGGAGAAGGAACUCCUGGGAUGCCACGGUCACCUAGGAGACAGCCCAUAAGUCCCCAGGGCACUGCCUCCCCUCCCCUGCAGGGAGAAGGAUGUAAGCUGCGGUAAUGAGCCCCCUGCCAGGCCACGCGUGGUCCUGACAUGUGCUUUGGUGUUCAUUUCAGAAACUCCAUCUCCAUCCUCCCUGCUGCUAGCAACUUAACACAGCACUGGGGAGUUGGGGAAAAGGGGGUCUGUGUGUGAGGGCACCCUCAGAGGGCCCCAGGAGUGGCUGUUCUUUUUAAUAAGCCUCUUGGGGUACACUGCGUUGUGUCCUGUCACCAGCAUGCGGCUGACAUUAAUCGGACAGCCUCAACUGCUCAUCAGUGAAAAUGGCUGCGAGGAGAGACUAACUUUUCACUUUGUUUCACCUGUGAUCUGGGUCUGGCGAGCCGGUCAAUACUCCACUUACUAGGAGCUGCCUUUGAAGCUUAGAGGGCUGGAUCCCUGCAACCCAGCUAGGACUGAUCUGUGUGUGUGGCGGGGAUGUGGCCAGCAUCUUCCACGACCUAGCUCCCUCAUAAGUCUGUGAGUCUCACCACUUUGAAAACCCAGUUCUGCCUCCAGGAUGUGAAGAUCAUGGAGAAUGUUCUCCCUGUGUCUUAGCCCCUUGGAUCUGUGGAGUGGGAGGGAGUGGCCUUGCUCUGCCUUCUGUACUGCAUGGCUGCGGGGGUCCUGAUGGGCAGUAUCAGAGCAUGCCAGGCUGAAUAGCCUUUGAAUUCAUUCCUAGGCAACACCUGGGCCUCAGGACUGCGUGAUGGGUGCCCCGUGAAAUCUAAUUCCACUGUGAACUAUGCUGACAUCCAUCAAGGCCUUUACCUCCUACCUCUUGGUUUGAAAUGGGUCUCCAAGACUUCCACCAUCCACAACUGAUCCAGAAAUGGCUCUGGCAGUACCCAAGGGUUCCUUGAAGGCAGGUCUGGGUCUGGUUCUCCGGAUCCCAACACCACGAGGUACUUUAUUUUAAAAGGAUUAAAAAAGCCACUGCUUGUCAAAUCUUGAACUAAAGGACUAACACCAAUUCUCAUAACAUCCUUAAGCCGGCCAUGUGAAAUGGGUGCUGUAAUUACCAUCCUAAUCUUAAGGGCAUGGAAAAUAAAGCACAGAGGGUAAAUCCUAUGGCUAAUCAGGAGCAGAGGUUGGUUUUGAUGUUGAAUGUGUGCACUCUGAGCCCAGAGUCGAUGACUAGAUAUAAAUGCAUCCAAGCCCAGCCCCCAAGAUGCUAGUUAGGUGGUGGCACAAGGUGGGGAUGUGACAAGGCAGCUGUUGCUUGCUGCUUUAUGAGAGGUACAGAUGGACAGACCCCAAGGAAUCACACUGAGCAACGUUUCAACCAGAAAUAGAAAUGGUCUUGGAAGGUGGAGGGCAGGACAGGCGUGCCCAGAAAAGCAGGAGGUAAGUGUGACUCCCAGGCAAGAACCCAAAAGACUCGGGGCUGGGGACAUGGAUGCCUACAGGACAGACACUGUGGCUUUUGGGGAUUAAAGAACUCAAAAUACUGAGCGCACAACCUGUCACCAGAUGAAUGUAAAUCCCCCUUCGGUAAACCCAGCAUUAUUUUUUCAUGACAUUUUGAGUGUGCUUUCAAUAACACUGUGACAUUGCUGCUGUGUUCCUGAUAUUUUUAAGCUUCAGGCUUUUCUUCUGCAAGCUCUGGCUGUGUAGUUGCUCUUCUACAAGCACAAGUUAAAUGGUGAAUUAAAAAAAAGUGAGAAAGGCUUUACUGUUUGUUGGGGGGGGGAGGGGAACACAGAACUAGAAUAGCUUGUCAACUCAUCCUUUGUGGAUAACCACUGUUAGGACAGUAGUUACAUAGUUUUCUAGUCAUUUUUCUUUGUGUAUUUGUCAUACUAAGUCUUCCAAAAUGUAAGUGAAGUUGCUUGCAAAAUCUUUUUUUCGUGGUGGAGUCUUGCUCUGUUGCCCAGGCUGGAGUGCAGUGAUGUAAUCUCGACUCACUGCAAGCUCCACCUCCUGCAUUCAUGCCAUUCUCCUGCCUCAGCCUCUGAAAUCUGGUAUUUUAAAUCAAAGCAGUCUGGCAUUAGAAUGCCAGAGAUGAUGAUGGAAAUGGCCUGGAAGAUAGUAAGGACGAAGGUGCUGUGUAAUGCUUUCAGAGUGACUGCUGUCAGGCUGGGCAUCACUAUUUCAUCUAUUUCUUGGUGUUCUCACCAUGGGAGAUGGGAAGCUCGAGAAGUUACUGCCCCAGGCCCAUGGUAGAGAAGCAGAAUGUGGCUUACAUUUGGAUACAGGGCCAUGUGCAAGGUCACGUGGCAGCAGUCCCCAACCUUUUUGGCACCAGGGAUGAGUUAUGUAUAAGAAAAAUUUUCCACAGAUGUAGGGGGUGGGGAUGCUUUUGAGAUACAAAGUGUGUUACAUUUGUACAUUCUAUUAUUACUACAUGGAAAAAAUUACACAACUCACCAUAAUGUAGAAUCAUUGGGAGCCCUGAGCUUGUUUUCCUGCAACUAGAUGGUCCCUUCAGGGGGCGAUGGGAGAGGGUGAGAGAUCAUCAGGCAUGAGAUUCUCGUAAGUAGCAUGCAGCCUAGAUCCCUCACAUGGGCAGUUCACAAUAGGGUUUGCAUGCCUUUCAGAAUGCAGUGCUGCUGCUGAUCUGACAGGCAGAGCUCAGGCGGUGAUGCGAGUGAUGGGGAGUGGCUGUAAAUACAGACGAAGCGCUGCUCACCCACUGUGUAGCCCAGUACCUAACAGGCUAUGGACUGGUACUGGGCCAGGGGUUGGGGACCAGAAGAGGGAUCCAAGCCUGAUUUGACUACUACUCAUCCUAGACUAAGGAGCACGGGGACACAGCGGUAGACCUCUACAUUGCAGUUACGAUGUGUGAAUUUACUUAAAAGGAGUCUUUUGUCUCUCUCCCCCAUAACUGUGUAAAUUUCUUUAAAGUCUCUGAAUCCCUCUGUUACCUGAAACAUGGGGCCGAUAUCAACCCACCUAUGAGAUUAAACAAGACAAUGCUUUCAGGCCCUGAAGCAAACUCAGGCACAUUUUCUGCAAAUGGGCUGCCUGUGGCCCUCUUGUGGCUCUUGGUGACUGUGGCCCUGCCCCUAGGGAGCCCUUAUCAGGCAGAUAAACUGCUUCAGGUUGUACAAUGCGGGAUGAUCACCCAAUGGGCCUGGGACAGCCUAGUGGUGAGGCUUGUGCAGCCCCCCGUAGAAACGGGAUGGGGGUGGAUUCAAAUCCCAGCCACAAGGACCAGCAGGAUUGGGUGGGAUGGAGAAUAGGUUUCUUUUAAGCUCGGGGCCUGCACUGUGUGAGCAGCUGUGGCAGAGAGUGACAGGUGUAUGGAUCCACCAUGGACGGGGUACUGAGAGGCAUGGCACUGUGGGGUGUGUGCAUCCCUGGGGUAAACAGUGCUCAUUAAAAACUAAAGAUGCACUGUGCUUAACUUUAAAGGAUGGCAUUAAGUUCAUACAGAAGUCUACCAAUGCUUUCUAGAUGUCAGCUUUCACCACUUCAAGGCUAACAUAUCACUCUAUGUAAAAUUCCGAUGGUUACCAAUGGCUGUGAUGCUGAGGGGGCCUCUUUGUCUCUUUGUUGAUAGCCACUUGAGGUGACCAGGGGCCAUCUCGCGUUUCAGAGCUGGCUCAGCCUGACAUUUCAGAAGACCUCAGAUACCAUCUACUGGGGGGGCUGAAGAGAGGCUCUGUGAUGGUUCUGCUGGAGUAAACCGUAAUUAUUAAAAACUGAGAUGCAUUACGCCUAACUUGCUAAGGAUGGAAAGGAUUAUCCCUGAAUGCUGCUGGUCUUCUAAUUCUCAGUUGCCCCGUCCCCACUUUGCAUGGGAUGUUCAGAGCACAAUCAUGUCUCUGUUGUAAUCCCGGCCAAUUACCUCACAGUGCUCUCCCCACUGCAGCACCCAGCCCAACCAACCGUGGCUAAAAUCUUAAGCAGAAGACCCACAGGAAGACAGGGCAAGCGGUGAAUGAAAAUAGCAGCCUGCCUGCCCUGACGACUUGAGAAUCCUCCAGUUGCCUGCAGAGGCCCUCCUCCACUCGCUGGAAUGGCUAUGGUCAUGUCACAUUGAUGAUGUUUUGGUGAACAACAGACUGCAGAUAUGAUAGUGAUCCUGUAAGAUCGUGAUGGAGCUGAAAAAUAUCUGUUGCUUAGUGACAUCACAAUGCAGUGCACUACUCCUGCAUCUGAGGUGAUGCUGGUAUCAAACGAGCCUACUGCACUGCCACUCAUCAAAAAGAUUUUUUGGGCUGGGUGUAGUGGCUCACACCUGCAAUCCCAGCAUUCUGGGAUGCCAAGGAGAAUGGGUCAUUUGAGGUCAGGAGUUCAAGAUCAGCCUAGCCAACAUAGUGAAAUGCUGUCUCUACUGAAAAUGCAAAAAUUAGUUGGGAGAGGUGGUGUGUUCCUGUAAUCCCAGCUACUUAAGAGGCUGAAGCAGGAGAAUUGCUUGAACCCAGGAGGAGGAGGUUGCAGUGAGCCAACAUCAUGCCAAACUCAGUCUCAAAAGCCAAAGGUGGCUUGUUUCUAUUCGCAAGCCCUCAACCAUUCAGCAUCUCCACCCUCUUCUGAGGUUCUUCCCAUCUCUCUGAAGGUGACUUUGCCACUAAAUUGUACAGGGUCCCAGGUCUCUUCUGCCUGCACUCCCCACUUAUCUUUCCAUAGAUCCAAAUGGUAAAGCUUCCCAAAUUCGUAUGUCAGCCUUUCCCUCUGGAGCCCUGGAGUCAGUAUAUCUACCUUGAACAUAGCCAAAAUGGAAAUUGUGACCAGGGGCAGUGACUCCUGUGUCUAAUCUCAGCACUUUCGGAGGUUGAGGCAGCUAGAUGGCUUGAGCCUGGCAGACUCUGAGGCCAGCCUGGGCCACAUAGCAAGACCUCAUCUUGGGGCGGGGGGGGGGUAAAUUAGCCAGAUGUGGUGUGUACCUGUUGUCCAGCUACUCAUGAGGCAGAAGUGGGAAGACUGAGCCUGAGCGGCAGAGGCUGUAGUGAGCCGAGAUCAUGCCACUACACUCAAGGUGAGGAGACAGACGGAGACCCUAUCUCAAAAAAAAAAAAUUCAAUUUUUUCCACCAUCAAACUUCUGUUCCUCCUCUGGGCUUCUGUACUUUAGUAAAGGGGGCAACUGUUGACUCCAAUGCUCAAACCAGAACUCUGGGGGUGCCUUAAUUUUUCUUUAUUCACAUUCCAAACAAAAUCCAAGACCCACUGGCCUUUGGCUUCUGCCUCCAGACACAUGACUACUGCUUCCACUUCUGUCUCUGCUGUGUCUCCUAAACCCAGACACCGUCCCUUCUUGCCUUGACCCUUCCUCAGACCCCAAACCCUUCCAUAGCUUCCCACUGUGUUCAGAAUCAAAUGCAAAUGUUUCCCACAGCUGUAAUCCCAUCGUCACUUCCUCUGGCAACACGGGGACUGCCUGCCAUGCCCUAACUCCUCCUUGUGCUUUUGGCCUUCGCCUAAGAGUUCCUUGGAGUUUCUUCACAGCAUCUGUAGCCAUCUGAAGUGUCAUCUUCUGUACUAUAUUGCCAGUGCCUACAAUUACGACUGGUAUACUCAACCAGGCGGCAGUGGUCUUGUACAAUCUCUCUCUGUAUUCUCAAGUCCCCAUCUGCGAGCAUGGCUACUGGAAAUAACUGCAGCUGUAUACUGACUUAAAGAUCCAAAAAUCCCAGGAAGGACCCCAGAGCUGUGAGCCAGAAGCCCAAGGCCCUCCCAGCCUGAAAGCCCCAGGCCAAGCCUGAACUAUAUGCAGUCAUCCCCAUGAGAAUAUAAACUCCAUGAGGGCAGCAACUUGGCUGGCCUGUGUGCCAGUGCUGGGGACAUCACUGAGAAAUGAAGGCCCAUUUGGCAGGCUAUUUUUGAGCAAGAUUCCUGAGGCCCAAUCGUUGGGUGAUGAGAUGGACCCGAGGUAUUUCACUCCAGCUCUCGAGCCAAAAGAACUGACCACGUCCUCACCACUGCUCUGCGCCAGAUUUCAUCCAAGCAAAGAGAGGAUCACAUGGAGAUGAAAACACCCCACUUCCUUCAUCUGGAUGACACCUUGUUUAGAAGCCCAUCACUCGGCCAGAGAAGAAAUAUUUAGAUUGAGAAACAGCUUUUUGUUGUGCCCUAAGCCCAUUCUACCUUUAUGAUUCAACUAAAAAUUUAUUUCCACUUAAAUAAAACCAGCAAUUCUGAGCUUCCCCUCCCGUCACAGGUUUCCUCCCAGAAAGUCUAUCAUGAAAAUACUGCUCAAAAAUCAUCUGUAAAAAGGUAUACAUUACACAUAGAAGCACGUAUGUAUGCACCGGUGGAAGUAUAUAUCCUCAUAUUUGGUGUUUGGUUUUUUUUUUUUUUUUGUAGAUUGAGACUGUGUCUCCCAGACUGGAAUGUAAUGACACAAUGUCAGCUCACUCCAACCUCCACCUCCCGGGUUUAAGUGAUUCUCCUGCCUCAGCCUCCCAAGUAGGUGGGAGUACAGGCGUGCACCACCAUGCCUGGCUAAUUUUUGGAUUUUUAGUAGAGAUGGGUUUUCCUCUUGUUGGCUAGGCUGGUCUCACACUCGACCUCAGGUGACCCAACCACCUUGGCCUCCCACAGUACUGGGAUUACAGGUAUAAGCCUCUGUGUCUGGCCCAUAUUUGCUAUUUCUAAAAUUAGAAAGGUAUUGUGUGGUACUCUUCCAUGCUUUAUCCUCUUAGUAAUAAUGUCAUGGAGAUUUUUUCCAUAUCACUACAUGCGGUAUGGAAGGUAUUCCCUUUACAUGUGAGUGUACAUCAGCCUCAGUAUUCUAGCCCAUAGGUUGGCAAACUUCCUAUAAAGGGUGAGACUAAACAUACUAGGCUCCAGGGAGGCAUUCCAUCUCAGUUACAACUCAACUUUGCCCUUAUAAUAAGAAGCUAUACAUGAAGUGUGAAUGACUGGGCAUGUUCCAAUAAAACUUUACUUAUAAAAAACAGGUGGAGGGUAAGAUUUGGCCUGUGGGCCAUCAUUUUCUGAUCUCUGUUCUAGUCUGAACCAUCUUUGGCUGUUUCACCACAGUCAUGCGGCCAAGGAGGCAAGGCCUGGCCACACAGGGCACAGAAGCCAUGAUGGGCCUUGUCUGCAAGUAGAAAUCACCUGCUAAUCACCAACAGGUCUCAAAGUAAAUGCUGGAACACACUUUGUAGGGUGACUCUCCUGGCCCCAAGCAGCAUCUGCGACAUCAAGAUGCCGGGCCUUGGGACUGCCUCAAGCUGGUUUCGGCAGCUAUGCUCUUUACAGAGCGUGUGGAGGGCAAGGACUCUGGAGUAGAAAAAGGUGCAGGUCUUAGGGCUGGGGUCCCAGGGUGGAAGCCCACUCCAUGCCUUACUGGCUAUUUGAGAUAGAGGAUGAAAAAUGGCAUGAACAUCUUUGUAUGUGUGAGGAUCUUCCUGUUGCCCACGCUGGAGUUCAAUGGUGCAAUCUUAGGUCACUGCAACCUCCACCUCCCAGGUUCAAGAGAUUCUCCUGCCUCAGCCUUCUGAGUAGCUGGGACUACAGGUGCACACCACCACCCAUGGCUAAUUUUUGUAUUUUUGGUAGACAUGGGGUUUUGUCAUAUUGACCAGGCUGGUUUCCAACUUCUGACCCUGAGUGAUCUACCACCUCAGCCUCCCAAAGUGCUGGGAUUACAGGGAUGAGCCACCAUGGCUGGCAGACACAAGCAUCGUGAGGGGUGCCUAGCCCCUGCAGACACUCCAUGAACAGCAAAUGUGAUAACUGCUAAAUCAAAACUACCCCAGAAUUUUCCAUCUGCUAUGUCCCCAAGAAAUGACACUGUAACAGGGAGCCGAACACUAUGAUGCCUGCCCAGCUGCAAGAGUGGACUCACCUAAGAUACUCCACAAGCUUUUUAUGCUGUUACAACGGACCCAAAGCACGGGAGAGCAGGGGCCUCACUUGUGCUGUUGCUUGAGAGUUCCCUAAAUGCCAGGCCAUAGCAGGUACUGAAGAAUACCUACAGCCCGAGUGAGUGCUGCUAUGUGUAGGGUUCAGGCCAAGGGCCCUGGCUGCAGAGCAGAGGAACUGAGAGCUAGACAGGGCUGGGCCUGCCAUAGGAAAACAACAGCCCAGCUAUGACCCAGCACUGUGGUGGCUGGGGGAUGAGAGAUGAGCUCAGCACAGAAAACACCUUGGAGCCCUGGAUGUACCCCUCCUACACCAGUACAAUGCCCUGCAGUGCUCUGGGCUUUAAACUUCACUUCUUGCUGAGUUGACACCAAAUGAGGCCCCUGAAGAGCCUCUUCUGCUGUGGGGCUUGGACAGAGUACCCGGGCCUGGAGUGGGACUUACAGGGAAGCCAGCAUCAUAGAAAAUCCCUAGAGGGAAUUCCCAGAAGGCUGCACCCUCAAAGCAUCUGGUCCAGACAAGACAACCCUGACUAGUCAUCCUGAAAGCCCGGUGCUGUCCAAAAGACACAGAUGCCAUGGUACAGGGAUGUGGCACAGUGGGGAGCCAGAGGUAGGUUACAAAGGAGACCUUAGAAGGUGUGGGACUCCCUUCCAUGUGGGUGCAGAGUGCCCACUGUCAUUCCCCAUGGAGGCACCAAGCCAGGAGAGUAGGGCUCCAGGGACAGUAGCUUCCAGCCUUCCCAGUCAGGUCCACAUCUGGUGAGCCAGAAGGAAGGAAAUGUAACCUAACACUGUGGCAGGAUCCAGCGUGGCCUUGUGGGAGGCGCUGUGGGAUGAGCAAGAGAGCAAAUGUGUGUGGCCAAGAUGAAGAAUGAACAGGGAUAGAAAAUUCCUACUUGUCCCAAGAAAUAGACCUCAAUGUCCCUUAGCAACAUCUUUUUAUGUCAUGCCUGACCGUGUGUGUGCCAGGGGUGGUGCUUGCCUUACCAAUAUGAGCAGUGCAAAAGUCCAGGAUGCCACGUUCACUCGAGACCCCUGUGCCAUGCUGUCUCCCAAAAGACUGAGCACCUUGAGGGCAGACUGGGAAUUGAGGUAUCCCUGAACCCCUAAGAGCAGCUCCUAUACAGCCCUAGAACUGCUGCUGAAGGAAGUGGCUCAUUUUGCUAAACUCCAGUUUGGAAUCUGGGGCUCAGUAAGGCUGUCCCUGCAGAGCAUUCUUGAGCCCAUUCUGUUCGGUAGCCAGGCAAGUGUGAGCAGCUGCAGCUUCACAGGAGGAGGCUUAGAGGGGCAGUGAUGGGUGCCAUGCUAUGCAGAUCCCAGACAGGAACGCGGGGGCCAGGUUUUAUUACAGGAGAUGGUGCUUGGGGUGGGAAUCAUAUCUCCAUCCCAUGGGACAGCUUAGUGGUGCUGAGGCUGACUUCGUGGGGGUGUAUUUAAUCCUCGUGAGGGAGGGGGAUGUUAACCACAGCUCAGGACUCUGUUCUUCCAGUUCCUCUUUCUCUCACACCCACAUUGAAACCAGCAAGUUCUGGUAGUUCUACUUUGAGAAUACCCCUUCCCAGGCUGCCUGAGGCACCAUCCCCUCUCCCCGGGGUGCCCACAUGGUCCCCUAACUACCUGUUCUAUCACCCAUAACAAAGCUCUACCCUUUGCUGACUCCACAUGGCAGCUAGAGUUCCCUUGGCUGCAAGGCCUCUCUGUUCCUGGGCUACCCUGGCUUCCUUGCUGUUUCUCCCAGGGGCCAACUCUUCAAGGCUGCAGGACCUUUGCACCUGCUGUGUCCACUGCCUGGCUCCCUGCCUCAGGUCUCCACUUCGGGUCAAACUAUCCCUGUCAUCUUCCUAGACCAUAAACAGCACAUCCCCAGCAGGCUUCUUUCCCUCUGUGAUGACUGUGAUGUCAUUUCCUGUCUUUUCACUGGAAAUCGCCACCUCACAUAGGCAUGUCUGCCUCACUAUUCAAUGUCUGUGUCCCCCAUGAAAACAGAUGCUUUAUCUGCUGUUGAACUAUCAGGAUCUGAAAUGGUGCACUGUAAGUACUAAUUGGAGGAAUGGGUGGAUGGAGGGGUGGGGAAUUUAUUUUCUCUUCAUCCCUGCUCUCAUCCUCCUAGGGCUUCCAGCUGCACUCCUAGCCCUGGAAAAACCAAACCAGCCUGAUCUUACUGGUGACUGUAUAAUCUUAAUCCCUUUAUUUUCAUAUAUUUUGAAAGCAAUCCUAAUUGUCUGUAUUUAAAAUUUCCUUUGUUGCAUGGAAGGUAGCUGUUUAAAUGUCUAAUUUUCUCCUAUCUUCUUAGUUUUCUAGUCAAAAUAAUAGCUUUAAUCACAGUGGGUCUAGAUGGAUUCAAAAAGGAAGAUUUAUCCACUCUUCUUGGUAAUUGUUU